UAGGGAAUCUUCGGCAAUGGACGAAAGUCUGACCGAGCAACGCCGCGUGAGUGAUGAAGGGUUCCGGCUCGUAAAACACUGUUGUAAGAGAAGAAUGACAUUGAGAGUAACUGUUCAAUGUGUGACGGUAUCUUACCAGAAAGGAACGGCUAAAUACGUGCCAG
rnacentral:rRNA from 1 species